GGCUCUUUUACAACGAAAAACCUAUUAAUAUCCCCCUUAUUAAAGUCCUUCAUCCACUUAUAAACUUAAAUCAAGUCUCCUCGUAACGCUCGCCUUUCUAGAGAAUGCAUAUUUAAUUGCUCAAAUCUGUCCUCAUACGGCAAGUUUCUCACCCCUUGAACCAUUUCUGUCAUCCUCCUCUGUACAGAUUCUAACGCCUUGAUAUCCAUUCUGUAGUGAGGCGACCAGAACUGAAAGCUUUACGAGCACGCUAAGGCCUCGCCGCACCCUACAAUUUGUUUACAAAGACUUCAUUUGCUUCACAAGACAAAUAUUAACCGUUCACUUAUAUUUUUCUUUAUCUAAAAAUGAGGGAUAGAAGAGGUCAUUCGCAGUAAAAAGAAGUUGUUGUGUUAGUGUUUCCAUGGGUAGUGUUAUGAGCCUAGUGAUAGUUUGACAAGGCUUUGGUAGAGGUUGUUGUGUUAGUGUUUCCAUGGGUAGUAUUAUGAGCCUGGUGAUAGUUUGACAAGGCUUUGGUGGAGGUUGUUGUGUUAGUGUUUCCAUGGGUAGUAUUAUGAGCCUGGUGAUAGUUUGACAAGGCUUUGGUAGCGGUUGUUGUGUUAGUGUUUCCAUGGGUAGUGUUAUGAGCCUAGUGAUAGUUUGACAAGGCUUUGGUAGAGGUUGUUGUGUUAGUGUUUCCAUGGGUAGUGUUAUGAGCCUAGUGAUAGUUUGACAAGGCUUUGGUAGAGGUUGUUGUGUUAGUGUUUCCAUGGGUAGUGUUAUGAGCCUAGUGAUAGUUUGACAAGGCUUUGGUAGAGGUUGUUGUGUUAGUGUGUCCAUGGGUAGUGUUAUGAGCCUAGUGAUAGUUUGACAAGGCUUUGGUAGAGGUUGUUGUGUUAGUAUUUCCAUGGGUAGUGUUAUGAGCCUAGUGAUAGUUUGACAAGGCUUUGGUAGAGGUUGUUG